CAAAAUGUAGCCUGUUAAAGAAAUUUUUUUUUUAAAUCUGUCAAUUUAACAAACUUCCCGUCUCCCGAUCUGACUAUGUGGCUGCUUCUCAUUCUGCAUUCAAAUGCAAUGCUGUUUCCUCCCUUUGACAAACAUUGAGUAAUUAGGAUUUUUCACAGACAAGCGAUUACCUAAUAAAUGACCUUCUGUGGGCAGCUCUGUUAAAAUGGAGCAAAGAGGAUGUUUACUACAAGCAGUGGCCAGGAAGGAAGUUACAGGAACAUGACAAGCAUUGCAUAAGGAACAGCUUCUUCAGCUCUAAGAAGAACCUAAUGACGGGGUUUACUAAAUUAGUAGAUUUGUCUUAAAAAUAAUUAUAAGCCCGACAGGACACCAGAGUGUUGAGUUAAAGGGUGAGGAAUAAAAGCCUGGAUGAAAGCCAAAGGCUAUGGAUUUGUUCCAGAUUAAGAUACAUCAGGUUUGACCAGCCAAGACCCCCUGAAAGGUUUCUGAUGACACCAUGGCCCAGAUGAUCCAACAUCCAGAAUGGUUUGAAGGCAACUGGCUCAGACAAUACAGCUUCAUGGACUAUUCCAUAAUCCUAAAAUUUUCUUUGUGUCCCCAUAAGAUACAGUGACCCCCUCCAGCAGGAAGUAGUAAGAGAAGCUACGCCCAAAUUCCCAAAUCAUAUGUAAUUUUACUUUGUUAAGGUUAAAACCUUCCUUUUGAAAAAAAAAAGAAAAGGGGAAGUGUUGUGGGAUGGUCUGUAUGUCAAGUGUGUUGCUGAUUGGUCAAUAAAUAAAACACUGAUUGGCCAUUGACUAGGCAGGAAGUAUAGGCGGGACAAGGAGGAGAAUAAAGCUGGGAAGUGGAAGGCUGAGUCAGAGAGACACUGCUAGCCGCCACCAUGACAAACAGCAUGUGAAGAUGCCGGUAAGCCACGAGCCAUGUGGCAAGGUAUAGAUUAAUGGAAAUGGAUUAAUUUAAGCUGUAAGAACAGUUAGCAAGAAGCCUGCCAGGGCCAUACAGUUUGUAAGCAAUAUAAGUCUCUGUGUUUACUUGGUUGGGUCUGAGUGGCUGUGGGACUGGCAGGUGAGAGAGAUUUGUCCUGACUGUGGGCCAGGCAGGAAAACUCUAGCUACACACAGCCUUUUGUUUCCAAGCAUAACUCUCCUCUAGUGCAAUACAUUUCCUGGAUUCCAUUCUAAAGUUAAGACAUUCCUAAAGUAUCUAGGCUAGUUUAAUUCAGAAGUCCCUGUUACAAUCCAGUGUCUCUCAGCAGCUGUCAUUCACUCAUCAGCAUUCAAAAAAUUCGAAGUCAACACAACACCAUACAGGAUCCAGACUCCCUGUAUAUUUCCCAUCUUUACAUGGCUUAUUCUUUUUUAUAUUACUUUCCACUUUCUUUAAAGACUUUACUUAAUUGUUUUUAAACUGUUUAUUUUUUUCUACAAUCAUUUUUGCAUUUACAACACACAUUUUUAAACACACUAUAACCUGUUUAUAGGUUUUUUUUUUUUUUUUUCAAUCUGGAUCUGUCUUUACUGCAUGUGUCUAUCCUUUUCCAACUGUGUUAACCAAACCUUAACAUGCUGAACAGUAGCUAGGCCCUCAUUAGCUCAGCCCUAAAUGGGAUGCCUCUAUCAAAUCCCUCCCCUCAGGGCUCAGGGAAUCCCAUGGAAGAGGAUGCAGAAAGAGUGUAGGGGCCAGAGGGGAUGAAGGAUACCAAGGAAUCAAGGAAUAGCAGUAUUGAUGCACACAUAAACUCACAGAGACUGAAGCAAUAUGCACAAGGCCUGCACGGGUCUGUGCCAGAUGGCAUGGCAGAGCUGAUAGAAGUGUACACAUGUUCCCAUUCCAAACCUAGAACGUAUCUCCAGUGACAACCACUUAUAAAAGAAAAAUUAGUUUUCUCCAAGGGAACCUGGCUAGGGAAACAAACUACUCUUAAGGGUUAGGCUGCAUGCCCAGCAGUACAUGGUCAGCAGAAAAUGAAGUAUCUAUGGAGGUUCCUUGUCUCAUAACAUUGUGUCAGGCUUUUCCUUUUGUUUUCUCCCUUCUUAUUUCUCAUUUUUAUUCCUUUGCACAUUUAUUUUGGCUUCCAGUUUAGUGUUUUUGGAUUGAGGGGGCAAAUGAGUGGGUACAUCUCUCAGGUGAUUUUCCUUCUGUUUAUUUGUUUUGUCCUAUUCUGAUGCACUAGUCUUUGGUAUAUUGUAUUUUAUAUAUGUAUAUAUUACUAAAUACAUAAACACAACCUGUCCAGUCUGUAUAAUAUGAACAUUUUUCUUUUUCAAAUACACCUCUCUCUUAACAUCAGUGCUAUUCCAAUUAACCUGGCAUAGUUAUAUAGAAAUAGCUAUGUAAAAGAGAAGACAUAAGAUUUUUCAUUAGGAGACAAUCUCAUAAAUUCUAGACUGGCCUCAAACUAAUGACAAUUGUCUUGAUUUGGACUUUGAGUGCUGGGAUUAUAGGUAGGAGCUACCCCACUCAGUUUAAGAUUCUUUAUCGUUGUUUUUGUUUGUUUGCUUUUUGUUUAUUUUUGAGAUUGUAAUUUAAUUGCAGUUCCCUCAUUCUGCUCCCUCCAAAUAUUCCUGUACACCCCUCCCUCCUCUUUUUCAUAUGCAUGGCCUCUUUUUUCCACUAAUGUAUGAAAAAAAUGAAAAAAUGUAUGCAUGUAUGUAUUUGUAUAUACAUAUAUAUUCCUGAAUCUAACCUCUUGAUUACAAAUGUUAUGUGAAUGUAUGUUUUCAGGGCUGAUCAUUUGGCACUGUAUGACCAAUUGAUAUGCUCUUUCCUGGAAAGGGCAAUGGCUAAUGUCUUCUGUUCACUUGAAAAACUAUUUUAUGCAGGAUUACAAUUAAAAGUACUUUUGAGUUGCCAACACCCUCCCCCCACUUUUCAUAAAAUAAAUGAAAAAGAAUGUUUAAUGUUUUUGCUAAAUGUAGUCUGCUGGAAUAAAAAAAAAUUGUAUUUUUAAAUUAUAUCUACCAGGAAAUAAUUUCACAUAGGAAAAUAUUCCAAAUUGAGUUUCUGGACUCUUAGGACUAUAAUUUCAAUUGGCUAGUAUCCUCAAUGUUCUGGAACCACAUUUUUCAACUAUUUAAGUUUUGAGUUUUGACAAAUAAGCAUUAGCAGGUGUGAUCAAUUUUAAAGAACCAUAUGGCAACUGAGUAGUGUUCAAGUUACAGAUGAGUAACAGCAAAUGAAUUAAAUAAUCACUCCAUAAAACAACCAUGUUCAAUUUUAUUUUUCCAUUUUGUGAUGAAGGUAAUUUCUAACUCUCUUUGAUGCUCUAGCAGCUUUGCUUUGUGCAAAUCUUGAAGGUCUCACAAACAUAACUAGAUAAGAGAUAAUGAAAUUUUACUCUGAUCUCUCUCCCAGUCUACCUUUUUUUGUGUGAAAAUCUUAAGUAAUUUUAUUUAUUUUUAUAUUGUAUGCAAUCUUUUUGUUACAAAGUAAGAAAUUCCAAUGCUUUUAACAAAAUCACAUUCUGUAGCAAUAAAAAUCUUUUAAAUAGAGACAAAACUGUAAACAGCUUCCAAAAAUUAAGAGAAACUGAUGAUAAUUCUUGGUUUUGUUGAUGUAUUCAUGUGCAGGGAGAAGUGUGAGUCUCACCACUUUCUAACAUUGUAAAUACCUAGAAAGCAUGUACACCUCUUUUCAAACAUAAAUCCAAUAAUACAAAAUAAAACACAAAUAAAAUUUGAUUGCUUUCCAUUUUGAAUGCUUGUUAUUUCUGAUAUUUUUAUGCUGAAUAUCUGAUCUCUAAAGUAAUAAUAUUAUCUGAUAAAAUAAAACUGCAAAAGAAUCAAUAUUUAUUUUGUUGACUUAAUCAACAUACAAUUUCUUAUUGAUGCACAAGCAGCCUGUUUAUAUUCUUGCAAGAUCACAGGGAAAAAUAUAAUGCUGAUAUUUCAAGAGCAUAAUUAUAAAAUCAUUCUCUGUGUUAGUUUUAGAAAGUAAAAUAAUUUCAC